UGUGUUCCUUAAAAGCUGGAAAUAGUGACGAAGGCUGGUGUUUAAAAGCGUUCAAAAAGCAAGAUAGUGCGUGUUCAUUGAAGGGUUGAUAACCUGUUGUCCACGCUUGGAUCGCCAGGGUUGUUGUUAUUGGUUGGGUGUCAUCUGGCCGUCAUUCCCGAGAUAUUCCCCUCCUGACUUCUAAUUUCAAGACCAAGGCGUAUUCAUGCGUUAUUGUGCCCGUCAGAGAGGAGCGAUAAAAUAUGCAGAAGGUCAAUAGCGCAGCCAGCUCUGACAACCAUGAAUCAAAAAGCCAUUGCUCAUUCCACGGGACAUUACAAGUUUGCCAUGGUCUGACCUCUUCCUCCUCGACCAAUGUCGGAGGACCAUAUAUAUUUACAUGCAUCUUCCAAUCCCUCUUCAUUGAACCCAUCAGAACCCUUUCAAUCCAUACCUUUCCAGCAUUGCUGGAUGGAUGAGUGCACUUGGUACUAAACAUGUUUGGCUUCAAAUGUCAAUCUCUGAAAAUAGACUCAUCGAGAUAUCUCAA